rnacentral:lncRNA from 10 species
CUUUCGUCUCCUAGGAGGCACAUAACCACCAGCUGUCCCUGCUUAGCAACUUCUGCAGAAAGAGAGUGCCUUUUCCCCCUACCGUAUUCUUCGCUGCAACUCAGGGAAGGAUUCUCAGUUUCCCUACUUGGGCUACGUGUCACUGCUGCCUGAACACAGACCACUAGGCUUUGUUCGUCCUUAGUCCUACGCCCACUCCUCCAAGUAGCAGAAGAAAGACGAUGGGAAUGUUUGCCGAACAGACAACACCCAAGAAGUACUCUAGCAGGCCUAAAACCUAAGCAGAUAAUCCAAGACGGAGGAGAAGCAUCUCCAUGGCACCUCACUCUGAUUUGCGAGGAUUUGGCCAGAGAAACUGUUCUCAAGAGUGUGAAUUAGGUGGCAGCUACUAUUUUAUGGUACCUCGCUAUCCACUUUGUAAGGCAUCGUACGACCCCGUGUUGCAGACGAAGAAACUGAGGCGCAAGGAGGUUCCUCGGCUUGUAUGCCUGGGUGUCAUGUAUGAGCCAGGCCGUCUAGGGCAGGCACGUGGGUCAGUGCCCUGAGGAGAAUGCCCUCGUGGGAGGCCAGGAGAGCUGCCAGUGCUGGACGCCAGAGCGGUCAGCCAGAAUAUUCCACUGGAAGAGAACGGCCAGUGUGUGUGCGGAGACGGCCCCUGGGCGCCACCUCCCUGCUUGGGCAUCUCUUGCGCCGUGGAGAAGGGUUCAGGGUAUGCUCUGUUCAGCUGACGGCUUCCCCAGAGCCACCAAGGUCUGAGCUCCUGCCUCCGAUCUGGGAUCUCCCCACAUCUUCGCUGACUCUGGAAGGAACUAGGGGCCUGUGGGGAAGUCCCGCCCUCUGGGGAGAACAACUGAGGCUGAGCCAGAGCUGAGAACCACUGUGAUGGGGAAGCAAGGCAGCUGGAGCCCGUCCUAAACCCGAACGGAAAUGAACUAGACAUCGAUCAGGUGUCUCCUCUCUGCCAAGCACUGGGCUCAGCCCCAGGUGUACAAAAAUAAAAUGUGGUAUUAUGCACAACGGAAUAGUAUUCAGUCUUACAAAAGAGGGAAAUCCUGUCGGUUGUGACAACAUGGGUGAAUCUGUAGGACAUGAAGCUAAGUGAAAUAAACCAGGCACAGAACAACAAAUACCCCACGAUCUCACUUCUGUGUGGAAUCUAAAAAAGUCCAACUCAUUGAAGUAGAGAGUAGAAUAGUGGUUACCAG